UAGAAUAUGCAAUUUCGGUGU
rnacentral:piRNA from 1 species